rnacentral:rRNA from 1 species
CCUACGGGAGGCAGCAGUGAGGAAUAUUGGUCAAUGGCCGGAAGGCUGAACCAGCCAUGCCGCGUGAAGGUCAGUGCCCUAUGGGCGUUAAACUUCUUUUGUGCGGGAGCAAUAAUGGUCACGUGUGGCCAGACGAGAGUACCGUACGAAUAAGCAUCGGCUAACUCCGGGCCAGCAGCCGCGGUAAUACGGGGGAUGCAAUCGUUAUCCGGAUUUAUUGGGUUUAAAGGGUGCGUAGGCUGUGAGGUAAGUCAGCGGUGAAAUGCCCCCGCUCAACGGGGUGAAGUGCCAUUGAUACUGCCUGGCUGGAAUGCGGAUGCCGUGGGAGGAAUGUGUGGUGUAGCGGUGAAAUGCAUAGAUAUCACACAGAACACCGAUUGCGAAGGCAUCUCACGAAUCCGCGAUUGACGCUGAUGCACGAAAGCGUGGGUAUCAAACAGGAUUAGAUACCCCAGUAGUC